AUGCCUGGGGAAGGAAGGGAGAGAAGUCCCUGUGAAAUCAACUGGAGAAACGACAUUUGGAAGAUAAUGAUGAGACGUGUGAUGGCAACACUAAUCAUAAAAACAAUAAGGAUGAUGAUAUUAAUAAUGGAUGAUAAUGGAAACAUGACAUAAUGAAUGUGAUGAUAAUCGCUGAUUGUUGUGUAUUCGUUUUUCAGUUUCUCCAAUUCCGAGCAUUCCAUAACACUCAACUAGAAGGCACGAAGUCCGGACACUUGAGGAUGACGUGGAUGAACUCGGACUGGGAGAGGCGGCCGUCGCAGUCCACGUCCGCCUCCUCCAACACCUGGAAGCAGAGAGUGAGACUGAGAGGAUAUGGGGGCGGUUUUGCAUGGCGCUCGAAACCUCUAAAAAGGGAGCAGGUGUAUAAGUAAAAAGAAAGCCUGCACUUGACUGUACCUUAGCGACAAUAGUGCUGUAUUCAUCGGGCGUGAGUAGGUCGUGGGAAAGGUGCUUCACGGCGUGCAGGAGGUCGGACUCGCCGAGGAAGCCAUCGCCGUCGAAAU